UUCGGAUUGUUUUAUAGGUGACAGUUGUAAACGACGGGCACGGUGGGCGGAUCCGUCGUCCCAAACAUGUCAUGAAAGAUGCGCGAAAUCGCGAGAAUCAUGAGUGACGGGCAGCCCGGGUCAGAGCAGCGAGAUUGGCACGCAUGACUGGUGGUUAGUCGCGCGCAGACAUGUGUCCCGCACUCCUGGAGAACGAGGAACGAUGCCUGGGCGGCAUGACCUUCUUCGCGCAAAGCCACCCGGUGGAGGUGUGCGGCAGCAACGGUUUACCGCUCACGCCGAAUUCCAUCACCAUCUACGGGAAGGCGCAGUUCCUGAAGACCAUCUACCACCCGCAUCUCUCGCCUUAUCUCGAUAUCAUCAGAAGCAAGCACGAGAGGAUAGUGGUCGUUGCGGAGUACAGCGGUGCUCCGUUGAGCACCAGACAAGAUCUAAGCGCAGAAGAAAUCAUUAGGAUAUCCUUCCAGUGUCUGCUGGCGUUACGACACAUGAAUGAACUGGAUCUGGUGCAUAGGCACUUGUGUCCGGAUAAUAUCUUGAUUAACAAGAACAGCGAUGUCCAGUUGUAUAAUUAUGGACUGUACUACAUGACGGACGGUGGAAAGAACGUGUCCUUCCCAAUUGGCUCUCCAAAGUACACAGCACCGGAAGUGUUUCUAAAUCCAAGUCCAAGCGGCGUCAAGAUGGACUCCUGGUCUCUGGGAAUGAUUAUAGCCGAGCAGCUAUUGGGACAACCCAUCUGGCCCGGUGUGAAACUGUCGCAGUGUUUAAGGAAAGUUCUGAGCUUAAUAUUAUGUGAUACCAGCAUAUUCGAGCGUCUUGCCAGAGAAAACAAUUGUUUUCACGUCUACGAAAAAUUGCCGAAGGAGCUGAAGGAAUUCGUAGACUCGUGUCUGCAGAUUCGUCCUACCAAGCGUAAGACUCCGGAGGAAUUACUGAAGUUGCCGAUAUUCGCGGAGCAUUUAACUAGAAACGCGCAGGAGAAGGAAGAAAAUCUCUACAAAAACGUCAUUGUCAGAAAGAUGGACGAGUUAUAUUACCUGUGGCAGUUGGCUGGCGGGGACAUAACCGUGGACUUGAAGAAACAGGGUCACAUUAGAUCACGGCCGCCCAUCUUAUCCAUUCCGAAUUUAGUCAUAUUACUUGGCCAGAUGUUCGGCCAGAGAGAUACCGCUAGCCUGCUCGACGUGAGGGUCGUAAAAGUUCCUAUGGAGACUCUACGCCAGCGUUUAGCCCACAUUCCGUACAUAGCGAACUAUCCUUGGCUGACGAACCAAAUGCGAGUUCAAGCGCAGGAGGACUUGACGAACGCGGCAUCCCAGCUGCCGCUGAUCAUAAGGGAGCGCGACACGGAGUACCAGUUUUACAGGCUCGUCCUGUUCGACAGGCUGUUACAGGCGUAUCCGCUCACACAGGAAGCGAUUAUCGAGGAGGCGCACAAGGACAUUCCGCCGCCGGUUAGGGGCGCUGUAUGGGCUGCUUUGCUCGGCAUCACCGGCGACAUACAGAAGCGUUACGACAUGAUUGACAAAGAAACGCCUACCCACACUGAUCGGCAGAUAGAGGUGGAUAUACCAAGGUGUCACCAAUACAGCGAGCUGUUGUCAUCCGGUGCCGGACACGAGCGGCUGCAGAGAUUGCUGAAGGCCUGGGUCAGGAAUAAUCCGCACUACGUCUACUGGCAAGGGCUCGAUUCGCUGACGGCGCCUUUCCUCUAUCUGAACUUCAACAACGAAGCUUGUUAUUUCAGCCCGAGCGUUCGCGUGUCUGUCCGCCUUUAUACCCAAGUACCUCCACAAGUUUUUCCUGAAGGACAAUUCAGCGGUGAUACAGGAGUAUCUUGGCAAGUUCUCCCAGAUCAUUGCGUUCCACGAUCCUCAGCUAGCGAAUCACCUCAAAUCGAUCAAUUUUGUACCGGAACUCUUCGCCAUACCGUGGUUUCUAACGAUGUUCUCGCACGUAUUUCCGCUGCACAAGAUACUGCAUCUGUGGGACAAGCUACUGCUGGGAGACUCGUCGUUUCCCCUCCUGGUUGGACUGGCGAUACUGAAGCAACUGCGAGACUCCCUGCUGAUGUCGGGUUUCAACGAGUGCAUCCUCCUGUUCUCCGACCUGCCCGAGAUUGACAUAGAGCUCUGCGUUAAGGAUUCCAUGACAAUGUAUCAGAACACACCCGCUAGUAUUACCUAUCGGAAGCAUCAGUACAAUAUGACAAAGGACGCUACCUGGAUCGAGCCUGAAGCGGGCACCGAGAAAAUGCCGAGGAUAAGCGUGGACGACUUCUUGAGUCUUUACAACGACUCGCCGAGCAAGAUCAUCGCGGUCGACGUGCGCAGUAACAUACA
rnacentral:misc_RNA from 1 species